rnacentral:rRNA from 1 species
UACGAACCGUACAAACGUUAUUCGGAAUUACUGGGCUUAAAGGGUGCGUAGGCGGUCAAGUAAGUGAGGUGCGAAAUCCCUCGGCUCAACCGAGGAACUGCGCUUCAUACUGCUUGGCUUGAGGGAGACAGGGGUAAGCGGAACUGAUGGUGGAGCGGUGAAAUGCGUUGAUAUCAUCAGGAACACCGGUGGCGAAAGCGGCUUACUGGGUCUCUUCUGACGCUGAGGUACGAAAGCUAGGGGAGCGAACGGG